rnacentral:rRNA from 1 species
AUGUGUCAGUACAGGCCGCUCUAAGGCGAAACCGCGAAUGGCUCAUUAAAUCAGUUAUCAUUCAUUUGAUCCAAACCUACUACUCGGAUAACCCUGGUAAUUCUAGAGCUAAUACGUGACCAUUACAACUCCGACUGGAAGGGAGGAGUGCUUUUAUUAGUUGAAAACCAAGCGGGCCUCGGUCCGUUCACUUUACUGUGAUGACUCUGAAUAACUUUGUGCAGAGAGCACGGUCUCCGCACCGGCUCCGUAUCUUUCGAGUUUCUGCCUUAUCAUGCUGUGGAUUGUAGGCCAUGCGCCUACAGUGGCUGUUACGGGUGACGGAGAAUCAGGGUUCGAUUCCGGAGAGGGAGCCUGAGAAACGGCUACCACAUCCAAGGAAGGCAGCAGGCACGCAAAUUACCCAAUCCCAGCUCUGGGAGGUAGUGACGAAAAAUAACAAUGCGGGACUCUUCCGAGUCUGCGUAAUUGGAAUGAGCACACUUUAAAUCCUUUAGCAACAACCAAUUGGAGGGCAAGUCUGGUGCCAGCAGCCGCGGUAAUUCCAGCUCCAAUAGCGUAUAUUAAAGUUGUUGCGGUUAAAAAGCUCGUAGUUCGAGCUCAGUUCCGGACUGGCCGGGGAGGUCACCGCCCGGUGCUUCCCCGUCAGGCUCCGAACAGCUUCCGUGAGUGGAAGCCAAGCCGGUUCUGCCGGGGUGCUCUUUACCGAGUGUCCCGCGCGGCCGGCCAGUUCACCUUGAAUAAAUGAGAGUGCUCAAAGCAGGCUACUCUCGAAUACAAUGCCCGAAUGUUACCUGCAUGGAAUGAUGGAAGAUGAUCUCGGUUCCAUUUUCUUGGUGGUGGGAGCCAGAGGUAAUGAUAAACAGGGACUGUCGGGGGCAUCCGUACUACGACGCGAGAGGUGAAAUUCAGUGACCGUCGUAGGACGAACAACAGCGAAAGCAUUUGCCAAGAAUGUCUUCGUUGAUCAAGAACGAAAGUUAGAGGAUCGAAGGCGAUCAGAUACCGCCCUAGUUCUAACCCUAAACGAUGCUGACUAGCAAUUCGCCGUCGUUAUUCCCAUGACGUGGCGAGACGCCCCCGGGAAACCUCAAGUCUUUGAGUUCCGGGGGUAGUAUGGUUGCAAAACUGAAACUUAAAGGAAUUGACGGAAGGGCACCACCAGGAGUGGAGCCUGCGGCUUAAUUUGACUCAACACGGGAAACCUCACCAGGCCCGGACACCAGAAGGAUUGACAGAUUAAGAGCUCUUUCUCGAUUUGGUGGGUGGUGGUGCAUG